rnacentral:misc_RNA from 1 species
AAGUCGUAACAAGGUUUCCGUAGGUGAACCUGCGGAAGGAUCAUUAACACUUUUCAUCCCUAACAUAUCUGCAGAGGAGAAGCAGAGUUCUGCUUUGUUUUUCCUCUGUAGGUUACCAACCCCUUUGUGUGCACUCGUUGAGAGGAACAUUGAGUGUGAAAACUUCGGUUUUUGUACUUGGUCAACUCCUCUUGCUUUUUUUCAACUUUUACCUUUUUUUUUACCCCUUUUCUAAUGCAAUAGACUGAAAUAAUAACCUUUUUGGAAGGGUUUAAAACAUCCAAAAGAGUAAUACAACUCUUAGCAACGGAUAUCUAGGCUCUC